GAUGAACGCUGGCGGCGUGCCUAAUACAUGCAAGUCGAGCGAACAGACGAGGAGCUUGCUCCCCUGACGUUAGCGGCGGACGGGUGAGUAACACGUGGAUAACCUACCUAUAAGACUGGGAUAACUUCGGGAAAUCGGAUCUAAUACCCGAUAAUAUAUUGAACCGCAUGGUUCAAUAGUGAAAGACGGUUUUGCUGUCACUUAUAGAUGGAUCCGCGCCGCAUUAGCUAGUUGGUAAGGUAACGGCUUACCAACGCAACGAUGCGUAGCCGACCUGAGCGCGUGGUCGGCCAGACGGGAAGUGAGACACGGUCGAGACUCCUGCGGGAGGCAGCAGUAGGGAAUCUUCCGCGAUGGGGGAAAGCCUGACAGAGCAACGCCGCGGGAGGGAUGAAGGUCUUCGGAUCGUAAAACUCUGUUAUUAGGGAAGAACAAAUGUGUAAGUAACUAUGCACGUCUUGACGGUACCGAAUCAGAAAGCCACGGCUAACUACGUG
rnacentral:rRNA from 1 species